rnacentral:tRNA from 1 species
UGGACAUUCACCAAAAGGCAAGGUAAUGGGUUUUGAUCCCAUCAUUUACUGGUUCGAAUCCAGUAUGCCCAG